rnacentral:tRNA from 1 species
UGGGGUCUAGCUCAGAUGGUAGAGCGCUCGCUUAGCAAGCCUGUCGGCCUGUUGUGCGAGAGGUACUGAGAUCGAUACUCAGGUCCUCCA